CCUACGGGUGGCAGCAGUGGGGAAUAUUGCACAAUGGGCGCAAGCCUGAUGCAGCCAUGCCGCGUGUGUGAAGAAGGCCCUCGGGUUGUAAAGCACUUUCAGCGGGGAGGAAGGCGUUAAGGUUAAUAACCUUGUCGAUUGACGUUACCCGCAGAAGAAGCACCGGCUAACUCCGUGCCAGCAGCCGCGGUAAUACGGAGGGUGCAAGCGUUAAUCGGAAUUACUGGGCGUAAAGCGCACGCAGGCGGUCUGUCAAGUCGGAUGUGAAAUCCCCGGGCUCAACCUGGGAACUGCAUUCGAAACUGGCAGGCUAGAGUCUUGUAGAGGGGGGUAGAAUUCCAGGUGUAGCGGUGAAAUGCGUAGAGAUCUGGAGGAAUACCGGUGGCGAAGGCGGCCCCCUGGACAAAGACUGACGCUCAGGUGCGAAAGCGUGGGGAGCAAUCAGGAUUAGAUACCCUAGUAGUC
rnacentral:rRNA from 1 species